GACGAACGCUGGCGGCGUGCCUAACACAUGCAAGUCGAACGGGACUUGAGGGGCUUGCUCCUUAAGUUUAGUGGCGAACGGGUGAGUAACGCGUGAGAAACCUACCUUUCAGUGGGGGACAACAGUUGGAAACGACUGCUAAUACCGCAUGAUGUAGCGAGGGGGCAUCCUCUUGCUACCAAAGCUUUAUGUGCUGAAAGAUGGUCUCGCGUCUGAUUAGCUAGUUGGUGAGGUAACGGCCCACCAAGGCGACGAUCAGUAGCCGGUCUGAGAGGAUGAACGGCCACAUUGGGACUGAGACACGGCCCAAACUCCUACGGGAGGCAGCAGUGGGGAAUAUUGCACAAUGGGCGAAAGCCUGAUGCAGCGACGCCGCGUGAACGAAGAAGUAUUUCGGUAUGUAAAGUUCUAUCAGCAGGGAAGAUAAUGACGGUACCUGACUAAGAAGCACCGGCUAAAUACGUG
rnacentral:rRNA from 1 species